rnacentral:rRNA from 1 species
UUCAUGACUGGGGUGAAGUCGUAACAAGGUAACCGUAGGGGAACCUGCGGUUGGAUCACCUCCUUAACCUGAAGAUAC